AGUGGCAAAGCAGUCUUGCAUUGUGCUAUUUGUUCUGGAAGGACACAAGCAUUGAGGAGCCAUUUGACCUGCCACUACACUGAUACGGUAUUUGGCAAAGGCAGGAGGCAUCUGCAAGCAACCAGUCAUUCCGAUUCUCAACCAAUCCUUCUAGUCAGCCCAUUUCUAGUGUCUUGCAAGUUUUUUUUCAGUAAAGCACAAUAAACACGCAGUUUCGUUCAGAUUCAGGUGGCUUGUUGCUUUUUGGGCACGAAUUUGUAUGUAUGCUUUGUA